UAGCUCAGUGGUAGAGUGCUUGCCUUGCAUGCAUGAGGCCCUGAGUUUGAUUCCUCAG
rnacentral:tRNA from 1 species